CCCAGGGCUCAUCCCAACAAGUCCCCUCCUUAAUGCCCACCCCCCACUUGUUUUUUUCUUUUUAAAAGAAAUUUUUAAGUUUAUUUAUUUAUUUUGAGAGACAGAGACAGUGUGAGUGGGGGAGAACACAGAGAGAGAGAAUCCCAAGCAGGCUCCACGCUGCCAGCAUGGAGCCCCAUGCUGGGCUCAAACUCACAAACCAUGAGAUCAUGACCUGAGCUGAAACCAAGAGUCAAGUGCUUAACUGACGGAACAACCCAGGCGCCCCUCCCCAUCACCCAUUGAACCCACCCCCCACCCACCUCCCCUCCAGCAGCCCUCAGUUUGUUCACUGUACUUAAGAGUCUCUUAUGGCUUGCCUUCCUCUGAUGCACACUGGGCUUUGUUCUAUGUAUUUCAUAUCAGACUAUUCCAGUGGUCACAAGAGGUAGGAUUUCUCUGAAGAAAACCAAUAACCAACAGAUGGGGUCAACGUGCCCCUUUGAUCCUUUUUCUGCAGCAAUGGUAUCACCUCAUGUGAACUCCCCCUUUCUUCGCUUUCCUUCUACAAGAAAUGUUUAGCAGCCAUCCGACCAACUGUUCAUUGAUUUGCAAACAUCAAUUCCAGAUCAACAGAGCCUGUUCCUCUCACGGGGGAAGGUGGGGGACAUCCUAGGUGUUCUCCAGUUUCCAUUAGCGAUGCCCUUGGGCACGCAUGAAGAUAUGUUGCAGGCACUUCCGGUGGAGAGGCUCCUGCUUGUUGGGGAUGAACUGGGUGACGGGUCACUGAAUUGAUGCACCCUCUUGGAAUGCUCACCAGAUCCAUGCCCCGCAGUAGGGGCAGCUGGAGAAGGGGCUUCCGCAUUUACAGUGCACCAAAGCAUUCAUCGCAAUAUGACAAAGAGAGCAGUCAGCCUUCUGCCAGGAGGCACUUAAAUUCCUAUUUUGGGUGAUCCGUGGAAAGAAAUUCACUCCUGAAACCGCAGAAGCAAACUCGGACCCAUGGGCUUAGCCCGCGGACACAAGGAGACCAUGGCUUUUCCCGAAAUUCCAGACACAAGAAAAGGUUUGGGACCCAAGCAAGCAGCUGAGCUCUCAGGCCCAGGGGCCGAUCUAGAACGCCAGCCUCCUUAACGCAAAAGAAAUCAGUGUCACCAAGCACUGUUUUCAAAUAACUGCAUGAGAGCUUAACACGGGGUCUGAGUUGACAACCCUGUCCCGUGAUUCCCGCUCACAGAACGCGUUUGUAAGGGGGUGCUCACAAAACCUGAAGGGACAGAUUUUCACCCACUGUUAGAGUCAGUAUUUACCUUGGAAGAAAGCAGGCGUCAGAACUUGCCAAUGGAGGUUUGGUCAGCACACCUGGGUGCUCGGUUGAAAUCAUGUCCUUCAACUGACACCCCUCGGAAAAUGCUGGGAUUUUUGUUACAAUGGAGAAAUGUCACCCAGCCCGGUGUGGCGA
rnacentral:lncRNA from 1 species